AACGUAGGAGACAAACGUUAUCCGGUGUUACUGGGCGUAAAGGGCGUGUAGGCGGUUUGUUAAGUCUGGCGUGAAAGCUCUCGGCUAAACCGGGAGAGGUCGUUGGAUACUGGCAAACUAGAGGACGGUAGAGGCGUGUGGAAUUCCGGGUGUAGUGGUGAAAUGCGUAGAGAUCCGGAGGAACACCAGUGGCGAAGGCGACACGCUGGGCCGUACCUGACGCUAAAGCGCGGCAGCAUGGGGAGCAAACAGG
rnacentral:rRNA from 1 species